UACGGGGGGGGCAAGCGUUGUUCGGAAUUACUGGGCGUAAAGGGCUCGUAGGCGGCCAACUAAGUCCGACGUGAAAUCCCCAGGCUUAACCUGGGAACUGCGUCGGAUACUGGAUGGCUUGAAUUCGGGAGAGGGAUGCAGAAUUCCAGGUGUAGCGGUGAGAUGCGUAGAUAUCUGGAGGAAUACCGGUGGCGAAGGCGGCAUCCUGGACCGACAUUGACGCUGAUGAGCGAAAGCUAGGGGAGCAAACGGG
rnacentral:rRNA from 1 species